rnacentral:tRNA from 1 species
ACCUGGCUGGCUCAGUCGGUUGAGCAUCUGACUUCAGCUCAGGUCAUGAUCUUGCAGUUUGUGAGUUCGAGCCCCACAUCAGGCU